GAACUGCGAUACGUAGUGUGAAUUGCAGAACUCCGCGAAUCAUCAAACCUUUGAACGCAUCUUGCGCCUGUGGGGAAAUCUGCAGGCAUGCCUGUUUGAGCACGGUUUACACUAUCAAAAAAGAAGUUUCUUCUUUUUUGGACCUUGAGAGUCGGAUAUCCAGUGACAAAAGUACUCCUUUAUCACAAUCCGUCUCUUGAAAUGAAUGCAACAGAAAGGAACCUAUUCCCGAAUCAAUCAAUUGAAAGCUAUAUCUUUAGGCAUUAACACCCGAGAUAUAGUGAUUGAAGCGGACAAAAAGGCUUCUUUCGUAAGAAAGAGAACAGCGUUGGAAGCUGUCUAUAAUCAAGGUCACUGCAAUCAAUGCAAACCGAAACUCGAUCUCAAAUCAGGCAAGACU
rnacentral:misc_RNA from 1 species